rnacentral:rRNA from 1 species
AGCGAACGCUGGCGGCAGGCUUAACACAUGCAAGUCGAACGGGCACUUCGGUGCUAGUGGCAGACGGGUGAGUAACACGUGGGAACGUACCUUUCGGUUCGGAAUAAUACAGGGAAACUUGUACUAAUACCGGAUACGCCCUUCGGGGAAGAUUUAUCGCCGAUAGAUCGGCCCGCGUCUGAUUAGCUAGUUGGUGAGGUAAUGGCUCACCAAGGCGACGAUCAGUAGCUGGUCUGAGAGGAUGAUCAGCCACACUGGGACUGAGACACGGCCCAGACUCCUACGGGAGGCAGCAGUGGGGAAUAUUGGACAAUGGGCGAAAGCCUGAUCCAGCCAUGCCGCGUGUGUGAUGAAGGCCUUAGGGUUGUAAGCACUUUGUCCGGGAAGAUAAUGACUGUACCGGAAGAAUAAGCCCGGCUAACUUCGUGCCAGCAGCCGCGGUAAU